GUCCUACGGGGGGCAGCAGUGAGGAAUAUUGGUCAAUGGGCGCUAGCCUGAACCAGCCAAGUAGCGUGAAGGAUGACUGCCCUAUGGGUUGUAAACUUCUUUUAUAUGGGAAUAAAGUGCAGUAUGUAUACUGCUUUGCAUGUACCUUAUGAAUAAGGAUCGGCUAACUCCGUGCCAGCAGCCGCGGUAAUACGGAGGAUCCGAGCGUUAUCCGGAUUUAUUGGGUUUAAAGGGAGCGUAGGCGGAAUGCCAAGUCAGCGGUAAAAUCGCGGGGCUCAACCUCGCUCCGCCGUUGAAACUGGCGU
rnacentral:rRNA from 1 species